UUUCCAUCAAACAGACAAAACCAACU
rnacentral:piRNA from 1 species